CCUUUUGCUGAACAAUGGAAAGGACUUUGACCUAUGCUUAAGCAUAGAACAGGAAUUUCUUUGAGUCAUGAUUGAUUUUAGAAUUGAUACAAUGGAGAUACUUGGAAUCAAUCUCCACCCUAUUCAGUCCUAACAGGAUUGAGUAAGGGCUGCAGCCUAGAUCAAAAUUUAAUUAUUCCAAUCUCUACCCUACUCAGGUUAACAGGAUUUAGAAAGGGCUGUAGCAAAGGAUCAAAGAUUUAAUCAUUUGAAAAUAUGACCUUCAACAGACAUGUGCAAAGCCUCUGGGCAGUCCUGGGUUAAGCUAGAGCCUCCAUUGGCACAGGGAAAUUGAUGGACAGUGAUUGGUAGAUGUGAGAACUGAGGGGAGGCAACUUGGAUGGUUUCCUUAAAGAUCAGGGGGGUCUGGAGACUCAGGGGUGGUUGAGGAGUUGAUCAGAGUGGUGGCAGUGGACUCUGAGAAGCUUGCUCUGAAGGAAGCUGAAGGUGGGGGCCCCGGAGACUGUUUCUCCAUUUUGGUCACGUUCUAGGUUGUCACUGACCAUGAGGACUCUCUACCUGAUGUAUAUGGUGCUUUUUUUGGUAUUUCCCUAUGCUGUCAAAGGGAUGCGGGAACCUGAAAAUUAUCUUCAAUGUGACUUUGUGGGUGGCC